rnacentral:rRNA from 1 species
GCGUGAGUGAUGAAGGCCCUAGGGUUGUAAAGCUCUUUCGCCAGGGACGAUAAUGACGGUACCUGGAUAAGAAGCCCCGGCUAACUUCGUGCCAGCAGCCGCGGUAAUGCGAAGGGGGCUAGCGUUGUUCGGAAUCACUGGGCGUAAAGCGCAUGCAGGCGGAUCAGUCAGUCAGGGGUGAAAUCCCGAGGCUCAACCUCGGAACUGCCUUUGAUACUGCUGAUCUUGAGUCCGGGAGAGGUGAGUGGAACUCCGAGUGUAGAGGUGAAAUUCGU